ensembl:lncRNA
AUCCCGCCCCCCCCAGGCAAGUCCAACCUGAUGGACGCCAUCAGCUUCGUGCUGGGUGAGAAGACGUCCAACCUGCGUGUGAAGGCGCUGCGCGACCUCAUCCAUGGGGCUCCCGUGGGGAAACCGGCCGCCAACCGGGCCUGCGUCACCAUGGUGUACGCCCAGGACGGCGGCACCGAGCGCACCUUCGCCCGCCUCAUCGUCGGUACGGGGAUUUUGGGGCGAAAUCCGGGGAUUUUGGGCAAAAAUGGGCGGGAUUUGGGGGGGAUUUGGGGUGUAGUAGAGUCAACAGGAGUGUGGAGUGAAGGUCUGAUCUGAGAAGGGCCCUUUCGCUUGUGUCACUGUCAUUGCGUUGGGGACACACGGGGGACAGCCAGGUGUCUGUUUUGGGGCUGGGUUUUGGGGUGAAAUCGGGCGAUUUUGGGCAAAAAUGGGCGGAAUCUGGGGGGAUUUGAGCGUAAGUAGAGUCGGUAGGAGCGUGGGGUGGAGGUCUGAUGUGGGCAGGGCAGCUUCAGUGGUGACACUGUCAUUGUGCUGGGGACACAUUGGGGACAGCCAGGUGUCUGGUUUGGGGUUCGGUUUUGGGGCGAAAUCAGGCGAUUUUGGGCAAAAAUGGGCGGAAUUUGGGGGGAUUUAGGGUGUAGGGGGGUCCGUGGGGGUGUGGGGUGGAGAUGUGGGUUUGUUCGGUUGUGUCGCUGUCAUUGGGUUAGGGACACAUUGGGGACAAAUUCGUAUGACCACAGUGAGCCUCUGGGGCUGGGUUUUGGGGUGAAAUUGGGCAAUUUUGGGCAAAAAUGGGCGGAAUUUGGGGGCUUUGGGGCGUGGGAGAGUCAAUGGGAAAAUGGGGUGGAGGUGUGGGCUCCUGCGGUUGUGUCACUGUGAGCGGAUUGGGGACACAGUGGAGACACAUGGGGGACAACCAAGUGUCCGCUUUGGGGCUGGGUUUUGGGGCAAAAUCGGGCAAUUUUGGGCAAAAAAUGGGUGGAAUUUGGGGGGAUUUGGGGUGUGUGGGUCUCCGUGGGGUUGUGGGGUGGAGGUGUGGGNCCCAUUGUCCUCAUGUCCCCAUUGUCUCCAUGACCCCAAUGUCCCCAUUGUCCCCAUUGACUCCAUUGACCCUCAUUGACCCCCAUUGUCCCCAUUGUCCCCAGUGUCCCCAUUGUCCCCCAGUGUCCCCAUUGACCCCCAUUGUCCCCAGUGUCCCCAUGUCCCCAUUGUCCCCAUGACCCCAAUGUCCCCAUUGUCCCCAUUGUCCCCAUGUUCCCAUUGUCCCCGUUGUCCCCAUGUCCCCAUUGACUCCAUUGUCCCCGUUGUCCCCAUGUCCCCGUUGUCCCCAUGUCCCCAAUGUCCUCAUUGACUCCAAUGCCCCCCACUGACCCCAGCGUCCCCAUUGACCCCAUGACCCCAAUGUCCCUCAUUGUCCCCAUUGUCCCCCAUUGUCCCUCAGUAUUCAGACCCCAUCCCUCCUGUCCCCGUUGCCAUAGCGACGCUCCGCGUCCUCGUUGCCAUGGCCACGCCCCCACGCCGCGCCGUUCCCACGGCGACGCCCCGCCCUAUGCAAAUAACCCAACGCCUCCCAACCAAUCCCGGCGCGCGGCGGGCGGUCCCCGAAGCUCAGCCAAUCGCCGAGCAGUAGGCGGGACAACCGGAAGCGCGACAGCGGUAUAAACCAAUCAGCGCCGGCGGCGGCCGGAAGUCCGCUGGUCGCUCUCGGCCGCCGUAGCCGCGGAGUUUCCCGCCCUCCGCGUUCCCUCAGCGCGGCAGCGCCGCGGUUUUUUUUCCCCUUUUUUCCCCUUUUUCCCCCCGUUUUUCACCCCCUUUUUGACCCCGUUUGCUCGCCGCCGUCGCUGCCGCCGCCAUGGGCUUCCUCAAGUUGAUCGAGAUCGAGAACUUCAAAUCGUACAAAGGCCGUCAGAUCAUCGGGCCCUUCCGCCGCUUCACCGCCAUCAUCGGCCCCAACGGCUCCGGUGAGGCCGCGGCGACCCCCGCAUCCCAUAAUACCCCGGGAUGAGGCCGCCAUCCCAUAAUACCCCGGGCCCCCCCCACCCCAUAAAUAUCCUGGGGGGUCUCCAUCCCGUAAUACUCUGGGAAUCCCCAUCCCAUAAUGACUGAGGCUCCACGGUUCCCCAUCCCAUAAUACCCCAGGGCU